UACGUAGGUGACCAGCGUUGUCCGGAUUUACUGGGCGUAAAGAGCGCGCAGGCGGUCGUUCCAGUCGAGUGUGAAAGCCCCCGGCUCAACUGGGGAGGGUCAUUCGAUACUGAUCGACUGGAAGGCAGGAGAGGGAAGCGGAAUUCCCGGUGUAGUGGUGAAAUGCGUAGAUAUCGGGAGGAACACCAGUGGCGAAGGCGGCUUCCUGGCCUGUUCUUGACGCUGAGGCGCGAAAGCUAGGGGAGCAAACGGG
rnacentral:rRNA from 1 species